GUGAAUCAUCGAAUUUUUGAACGCAAAUUGCGCUUCCUGUUAUCCCUGGAAGUAUGCCUGUUUGAGGGUCAGUAUUUACAAAAAAUCGGUUUGGUUGCAGAUUGUGACGUUUCCGGAGUUUGUGCUUAUCUUAACUUUUUUGGUUAAGGUGCUUAAAAUUGACCUUUUUUGCGCAUUUUUAGACGUACAUAAAUUUUUUUUUAUUCUUCUAUUCUUAAUGCCAAAAUCUUAUUAUAUUCUAUCACAUCGUGUGGCUUCGUUUCCAUAAACUUUUCAUUAUUUAACCUCAAUUCAGCUAGGA
rnacentral:misc_RNA from 1 species